GACGAACGCUGGCGGCGUGCUUAACACAUGCAAGUCGAACGGAAAGGCCCUGCUUUUGUGGGGUGCUCGAGUGGCGAACGCGUGAGUAACACGUGAGUAACCUGCCCUUGACUUUGGGAUAACUUCAGGAAACUGGGGCUAAUACCGGAUAGGAGCUCCUGCUGCAUGGUGGGGGUUGGAAAGUUUCGGCGGUUGGGGAUGGACUCGCGGCUUAUCAGCUUGUUGGUGGGGUAGUGGCUUACCAAGGCUUUGACGGGUAGCCGGCCUGAGAGGGUGACCGGCGACAUUGGGACUGAGAGACGGCGCAGACUGCUACGGGAGGCAGCAGUGGGGAGUAUGGCGCAGUGGGCGGGAGCCUGAUGCAGCAACGCCGCGUUCGGGAAGACGGGCUUCUGGUUGUAAACCGCUUUCGCCGGAGACGAAGCGUGAGUGACGGUAAUUGGUAAAAAAGCACCGGCUAACUACGUG
rnacentral:rRNA from 1 species